AUUGAUAUGGCAGAAAUUUAUGCAUUGGAUUUAAGAUUCAUUUAUGGUUUUGUCCUGUUAAUG
rnacentral:tRNA from 1 species